rnacentral:rRNA from 1 species
GAUGAACGCUGGCGGCGUGCCUAAUACAUGCAAGUCGAGCGAACGGACGAGAAGCUUGCUUCUCUGAUGUUAGCGGCGGACGGGUGAGUAACACGUGGAUAACCUACCUAUAAGACUGGGAUAACUUCGGGAAACCGGAGCUAAUACCGGAUAAUAUUUUGAACCGCAUGGUUCAAAAGUGAAAGACGGUCUUGCUGUCACUUAUAGAUGGAUCCGCGCUGCAUUAGCUAGUUGGUAAGGUAACGGCUUACCAAGGCAACGAUGCAUAGCCGACCUGAGAGGGUGAUCGGCCACACUGGAACUGAGACACGGUCCAGACUCCUACGGGAGGCAGCAGUAGGGAAUCUUCCGCAAUGGGCGAAAGCCUGACGGAGCAACGCCGCGGGAGUGAUGAAAGUCUUCCGAUCCUAAAACUCUGUUAUUAGGGAAGAACAUAUGUGUAAGUAACUGUGCACAUCUUGACGGUACCUAAUCAGAAAGCCACGGCUAACUACGUGCCAGCAGCCGCGGUAAUACGUAAGUGGCAAGCGUUAUCCCGAAUUAUUGGGCGUAAAGCGCGCGUAGGCGGUUUUUUAGUCUGAUGUGAAAGCCCACGGCUCAACCGUGGAGGGUCAUUGGAAACUGGAAAACUUGAGUGCAGAAGAGGAAAGUGGAAUUCCAUGUGUAGCGGUGAAAUGCGCAGAGAUAUGGAGGAACACCAGUGGCGAAGGCGACUUUCUGGUCUGUAACUGACGCUGAUGUGCGAAAGCGUGGGGAUCAAACAGGAUUAGAUACCCUGGUAGUCCACGCCGUAAACGAUGAGUGCUAAGUGUUAGGGGGUUUCCGCCCCUUAGUGCUGCAGCUAACGCAUUAAGCACUCCGCCUGGGGAGUACAACCGCAAGGUUGAAACUCAAAGGAAUUGACGGGGACCCGCACAAGCGGUGGAGCAUGUGGUUUAAUUCGAAGCAACGCGAAGAACCUUACCAAAUCUUGACAUCCUUUGACAACUCUAGAGAUAGAGCUUUCCCCUUCGGGGGACAAAGUGACAGGUGGUGCAUGGUUGUCGUCAGCUCGUGUCGUGAGAUGUUGGGUUAAGUCCCGCAACGAGCGCAACCCUUAAGCUUAGUUGCCAUCAUUAAGUUGGGCACUCUAAGUUGACUGCCGGUGACAAACCGGAGGAAGGUGGGGAUGACGUCAAAUCAUCAUGCCCCUUAUGAUUUGGGCUACACACGUGCUACAAUGGACAAUACAAAGGGCAGCGAAACCGCGAGGUCAAGCAAAUCCCAUAAAGUUGUUCUCAGUUCGGAUUGUAGUCUGCAACUCGACUACAUGAAGCUGGAAUCGCUAGUAAUCGUAGAUCAGCAUGCUACGGUGAAUACGUUCCCGGGUCU